rnacentral:rRNA from 1 species
UGCCUUUUGAGUUUUUUUUAAAGGUUAUUUCUGCUCGGUGUUCUUUAACAGCCGCGGUAAUUUGACCGUGCAAAGGUAGCAUAAUCAUUUGCCUUGUAAUUUAGGGCUGGAAUGAAUGAAUUAACAAAGGUUUUUCUUUAUUAAAAAAAGUUAUUGAAUUUUCUUUCUCAGUGAAGAAGCUGAGAUUCAAAAAGGGGACAAGAAGACCCUUUCGAGCUUUACUGAGGUUUCCUUUUUGGUUGAACUUAGUUUGGUUGGGGCGACCUAGGAAUUAGAUCUUCCUUUAUUUAUUUUGAUCCACAGUUUGUGAUUGAAAGAGCAAGUUACCGAAGGGAUAACAGCGUAAUUUUCUUUGAGAGUUCUUAUUAAAAAGAAAGAUUGCGACCUCGAUGUUGACUUAUAGUUUCCUUUUGGUGUAGCCGCUAUGAGGGUGGGUCUGUUCGACCUUUAAAACUUU